UCAACCGCUCACCCCUCCCGGAGCCGCCGCCGGCGGGCGGUCAACGCUGCCCGGGUCGCGCCAUGGCCGUGAAGGACGCGGAGGAGCCGUUCAGCACGGCGAAGCCCACCCGGAAGGCUCCGAGGCCGCCGCUUACCCGCCCGGUAAACCCCGUGGGUAACACCAAGCAGCAAUGGCAAGAAGACUAAAAAUUAGAGAAGAUGCUCUCAGCUUUAUGGAUCUUGGAGAUGCCACAGUUACACAACAUUUCCCCACCAAACACUGCUGAAUGCAGAAUGUGGGCACUGGACAAACGGCUUCUCCUUCUUGUUCCAGCAACACCAGCAUCUUCACUCUUGCCAUACAUAUUUCAAGAAGAUGGUUACGCUUACACAGCUUCUGUUGCACAGAUUCAGUUCCUUUAAAUUACCUGCAGAGAGGCAGAGAUUUGGCCCUUAAUGAAUUUAAUUCGUUUCACUUGGCUGCCGGUAGAUGGCUCCCUAAAUUUGCAGUCCCUUAUUUACUACAUUGUUUAUUGAAUGAUGUGGGACACAUUUUCAGUGGAAAAUGUUUCCAGUGUGUUUGCUUGGAGGAAGUUUACGUAAGAAGAACAAGGAAGCAAUGGACUGAGUAAAUAGACCGUUACCAAACAAGACACAGGAUUGGUUUGCUUUUUGCAAAAUGGUUUUGGGCUGCCAUCCAAAAGGCUUUUCUUGUGCAGGACUUGUAACUCAUUGAGCCUGAUAAUUAUAAGAUCAUCUGUGUUUGCAGGAUGCAUU